UCGAGAUUUUUCCGGCCUUUUGCAAUCAAAUUCUACCACCUUCUUCUUAUUUCCCAUCUCUCUAUCUUCCUUGGCAAGAGAGAGGUGCCAAUGGCCAUACCCUAGGCCAGUCAUCACUUGCACUUGCAGUACAAGCAGUGAGUAUUAAUUAAAUAAUCGUGUGCUACAAGUCGUUUCCUACUAAAUCUCUUGCUGGGUUAAUUAAUCUGAUACUACGAUCCACGAUAUCUCCUCUAGUGUCUCAAGAACCAAUCAGGGAACUCAGCUCAUGAACUAUCAGCACACAGGACAAUAGGAAGCUGGAAGCUCGUGCUAAGCGUCUACAUCACCCAAGCGAUCUCUUAGCGGACCAAGGCACUUCAGAUCGAAACACCCAAUCAUCAACAGAAGCGGUCUCCGAACUCAAAAUCCCAAGAUGGCUGUUUCCCAUCACUAUGUGGCCACUUGUCAACAUCACAUGCGCAUGCGUGGGAGCCAACUCUCUUAAAAUAAUCCGAGGGUUGUCAUUUUCUGUUUCCAAGAGAAUUUUCCUUCAUUGGUCCGCUGAAAAGUUUGUGUGUGCGUGUGCGUGUAGCAGUAUUGUGUGUCCAUUCAGGUUCUUUAUCUCUUCCCUGCAUUCAGAAGAAGAAAAUUGCGUUUCAAAAAUAUUCAAGACAGCAUUAUCA